rnacentral:piRNA from 1 species
GGGAAAGGAAAAAGGCUGGAUGG